rnacentral:rRNA from 1 species
CGCGUAGGCGGUGCCGUAAGUCGGACGUGAAAUCCCUCGGCUCAACCGAGGAACUGCAUCCGAAACUGCGGUGCUUGAGUUUGGUAGGGGGGAGUGGAAUUCCUGGUGGAGCGGUGAAAUGCGUAGAUAUCAGGAGGAACGCCGGUGGCGAAGGCGACUCCCUGGACCACAACUGACGCUGAGUGCGCGAAAGCUAGGGGAGCAAACA